rnacentral:lncRNA from 1 species
CGGGUAUCAGGUUAUGGGGCUAUGGUAAGGUUUAAGGUUUUUGACGUUAGGGUGAAAAUAACUUUCCAAAACCUUUGUAGGAACUCUUUUCCAACCUUAUGGAGUUCGUUAGACCAAAAAAAAAAGAAAAAUGAAAAAAAAAUAUUUGGGGUGUUCGGGCUUCCUGAAGGUAAUACCCGGGUAUUAGGUUUUGGUGCUAGGGUAAGGUUUGAGGUUUUUGGCAUUAGGGUUAAAAUCACUGUCCAAAACCUUUUUAGGAACACCUUUCAGACCUUUUGGAGUUUGUACACCAAAAAAAAAAAUGUAAAAUGAAAAAAAAAAAAAAUUGGGGUGUUCGGGCUUCCUGAAGGUAAUACCCGGGUAUCAGGUUAUGGGGCUAUGGUAAGGUUUAAGGUUUUUGGCGUUAGGGUUAAAAUCACUGUCCAAAACCUUUGUAGGAACUCUUUUCCAAACACGGAGUCAGUUAGACCAAAAAAAAAUGAAAAAUGAAAUAAAAAAUAUUUGGGGUGUUCAGGCUUCCUGAAGGUAAUACCCGGGUAUUAGGUUAUGGGGCUUAGGAAAUGUUUAAGGUUUUUGGCGUUAGGGUUAAAAUCACUGUCCAAAAACCUUUGUAGGAACUCUUUUCCAACCUUUUGGAGUUAGGUUGACCAAAAAAAAAAAGAAAAAAGAAAAAAAAUAUUUGGGGUGUUCGGGCUUCCUGAAGGUAAUACCCGGGUAUUAGGUUUUGGGGCUAGGGUAAGGUUUGAGGUUUUUGGCAUUAGGGUUAAAAUCACUGUCCAAAACCUUUUUAGGAACACGUUUCAGACCUUUUGGAGUUUGUACACCGAAAAAAAAAAUGUAAAAUUAAAAAAAAAUAUUUGGGGUGUUCGGGCUUCCUGAAGGUAAUACCCGGGUAUCAGGUUAUGGGGCUAUGGUAAGGUUUAAGGUUUUUGGCGUUACGGUUAAAAUCACUGUCCAAAACCUUUGUAGGAACUGUUUCUAAACUUUUGGAGUCAGUUAGACCCAAAAAAAAGAGAAAUGAAAAAAAAAUAUUUGGGGUUUUCAGGCUUCCUGGAGGUAAUACCCUAAUAUUAGGUUUUGGGGCUAGGGUAAGGUUUGAGGUUUUUGGCGUUAGGGUUAAAAUCACUGUCCAAAACCUUUUUAGGAACAUGUUUCAGACCUUUUGGAGUUGGUUACAUACAAAAAAAAUGUAAAAUGAAAAAAAAAAUAUUUGGGGUGUUCGGGCUUCCUGAAGGUAAUACCCGGGUAUUAGGUUAUGGGGCUAUGGUAAGGUUUAAGGUUUUUGAUGUUAGGGUGAAAAUAACUUUCCAAAACCUUUGUAGGAACUCUUUUCCAACCUUAUGGAGUUCGUAAGACCAAAAAAAAAAGAAAAAUGAAAAAAAAAUAUUUGGGGUGUUCGGGCUUCCUGAAGGUAAUACCCGGGUAUUAGGUUAUGGGGCUUAGGAAAUGUUUAAGGUUUUUGGCGUUAGGAUUAAAAUCACUGUCCAAAAACCUUUGUAGGAACUCUUUUCCAACCUUUUGGAGUAAGGUUGACCAAAAAAAAAAAGAAAAAAGAAAAAAAAAUAUUUGGGGUGUUCGGGCUUCCUGAAGGUAAUACCCGGGUAUUAGGUUUUGGUGCUAGGGUAAGGUUUGAGGUUUUUGGCAUUAGGGUUAAAAUCACUGUCCAAAACCUUUUUAGGAACACCUUUCAGACCUUUUGGAGUUUGUACACCAAAAAAAAAAUGUAAAAUGAAAAAAGAAAAUUUGGGGUGUUCGGGCUUCCUGAAGGUAAUACCCGGGUAUCAGGUUAUGGGGCUAUGGUAAGGUUUAAGGUUUUUGGCGUUAGGGUUAAAAUCACUGUCCAAAACCUUUGUAGGAACUCUUUUCCAAACUUUUGGAGUCAGUUAGACCAAAAAAAAAUGAAAAAUGAAAUAAAAAAUAUUUGGGGUGUUCGGGCUUCCUGAAGGUAAUACCCGGGUAUUAGGUUUUGGUGCUAGGGUAAGGUUUGAGGUUUUUGGCAUUAGGGUUAAAAUCACUGUCCAAAACCUUUUUAGGAACACCUUUCAGACCUUUUGGAGUUUGUACACCAAAAAAAAAAUGUAAAAUGAAAAAAAAAAAUUUGGGGUGUUCGGGCUUCCUGAAGGUAAUACCCGGGUAUCAGGUUAUGGGGCUAUGGUAAGGUUUAAGGUUUUUGGCGUUAGGGUUAAAAUCACUGUCCAAAACCUUUGUAGGAACUCUUUUCCAAACUUUUGGAGUCAGUUAGACCAAAAAAAAAUGAAAAAUGAAAUAAAAAAUAUUUGGGGUGUUCGGGCUUCCUGAAGGUAAUACCCGGGUAUUAGGUUUUGGUGCUAGGGUAAGGUUUGAGGUUUUUGGCAUUAGGGUAAAAAUCACUGUCCAAAAACCUUUGUAGGAACUCUUUUCCAACCUUUUGGAGUUAGUUAGACCAAAAAAAAAAGAAAAAAGGAAUAAAAAAUAUUUGGGGUGUUCGGGCUUCCUGAAGGUAAUACCCGGGUAUUAGGUUUUGGGGCUAGGGUAAGGUUUGAGGUUUUUGGCAUUAGGGUUAAAAUCACUGUCCAAAACCUUUUUAGGAACACCUUUCAGACCUUUUGGAGUUUGUACACCGAAAAAAAAUGUAAAAUUAAAAAAAAAUAUUUGGGGUGUUCGGGCUUCCUGAAGGUAAUACCCGGGUAUCAGGUUAUGGGGCUAUGGUAAGGUUUAAGGUUUUUGGCGUUAGGGUUAAAAUCACUGUCCAAAACCUUUGUAGGAACUGUUUCUAAACUUUUGGAGUUCGUUAGACCCAAAAAAAAGAGAAAUGAAAAAAAAAUAUUUGGGGUUUUCAGGCUUCCUGGAGGUAAUACCCUAAUAUUAGGUUUUGGGGCUAGGGUAAGGUUUGAGGUUUUUGGCGUUAGGGUUAAAAUCACUGUCCAAAACCUUUUUAGGAACAUGUUUCAGACCUUUUGGAGUUGGUUACAUACAAAAAAAAUGUAAAAUGAAAAAAAAUAUAUUUGGGGUGUUCGGGCUUCCUGAAGGUAAUACCCGGGUAUUAGGUUAUGGGGCUAUGGUAAGGUUUAAGGUUUUUGACGUUAGGGUGAAAAUAACUUUCCAAAACCUUUGUAGGAACUCUUUUCCAACCUUAUGGAGUUCGUUAGACCAAAAAAAAAAGAAAAAUGAAAAAAAAAUAUUUGGGGUGUUCGGGCUUCCUGAAGGUAAUACCCGGGUAUCAGGUUAUGGGGCUAUGGUAAGGUUUAAGGUUUUUGGCGUUACGGUUAAAAUCACUGUCCAAAACCUUUGUAGGAACUGUUUCUAAACUUUUGGAGUCAGUUAGACCCAAAAAAAAGAGAAAUGAAAAAAAAAUAUUUGGGGUUUUCAGGCUUCCUGGAGGUAAUACCCUAAUAUUAGGUUUUGGGGCUAGGGUAAGGUUUGAGGUUUUUGGCGUUAGGGUUAAAAUCACUGUCCAAAACCUUUUUAGGAACAUGUUUCAGACCUUUUGGAGUUGGUUACAUACAAAAAAAAUGUAAAAUGAAAAAAAAAAUAUUUGGGGUGUUCGGGCUUCCUGAAGGUAAUACCCGGGUAUUAGGUUAUGGGGCUAUGGUAAGGUUUAAGGUUUUUGACGUUAGGGUGAAAAUAACUUUCCAAAACCUUUGUAGGAACUCUUUUCCAACCUUAUGGAGUUCGUUAGACCAAAAAAAAAAGAAAAAUGAAAAAAAAAUAUUUGGGGUGUUCGGGCUUCCUGAAGGUAAUACCCGGGUACUAUUUAGGUUAUGGGGCUUAGGAAAUGUUUAAGGUUUUU